UGUAUCUAAUAAAAUGAAAUCCUUGACAACUUCAAUCUUUUCUCCUUCACUCAAGGAAGUAGCUAGUAUAAAAGUAAGGACAGUAGUUACUUUUAGGAGGAGAGAGAUGCUUGAGAUGGGAGGGAAGCAGAGAGGGGGCUCCGGAGUAGCUGGAAAAGUUCUAUUUGUUGACGUGGGUGGUGGUUACAGGGUGUUCACCUACACAUUCGUGUUGUGUAGUUUUCUGUAUAUUGGAGGCUUGAUUCGUACCAAGAGCUAACUCCGAUGCCCUUGCCUAUAGUGCCCAGAGGGCAGCCACUUCCAGGCAGGAGAAAGGAAGGCACGGAGAAGCCUUAAGCAGGGGUGUCUACACUUCAGAGCUGGGGACGUGUCCCAGGCGGCCCGCAGGGGACGACGGCAGGGGGCGCUGCAGGCACACUGGGACCUACGAGGGGACUGCGGUUCCGACCUGGGCCCCGGGACGCCCAGAGGCCUCUCUUCCCAGUCCAACUCUGAACGGGAAAGCCCCCAAUUCUCUUCCCCUGACUUCCAGUUCUCAGUGGGGUCGUAAGCCUGCAGAAGUCUCCAGCCUGCCGCCUGACCUGCAGAUUGUGGAUUCACCAGUCCAUGCAACCCUGUGAGCCACCAGAGAUCUCCAGCCAGCCUGCCACCAAACCCACGGAUUUGGAACUUGCCAGUUCCCACAAUUGUGUGAGCCAUUUCCUUGAAGUAAAUCUCUCUCUAUAUAUCUCAAUGAGCCCUGGUGGCAUGGUGGCUAAGAGCUCGGCUGCUAACCAAAAGGCCAGCAGUUUACAUCCAGCAGCCACUCCUUGGAAACCCUACGGUGGUUCUACUCUGUCCCAGAGGGUGACUGUGAGUUGGGAUCCACUUAAUUGUAGUGGGUUUUGGUUUUUGGCUUGGCUUCUUCCUUCUACUUAUUAAAAGUCUUUUUUAUUGCUCUUGUUCUAUCUCCUAGAAAUAAACACUUAGUACUUUAAAAUUUUCAGCCAUUCUGUUUCUCAAAUAUAAGCAUUUAAGACCCAACAUUCCCCUCCAAAAUGGUUUUUGCUGCAUCCCAUGACUUUGGAUAGUCUCGCCUCUUCUAUGCUUUUGUAUAAAUUGAUUCAUAUAUGUAUACUUUUGUGUUCAACUUCCUCCACUCAGAAUUGUGGGAUUUAUCCAUUUUGUUGAUUGACAGAGUAGUUCAUUCCUCUUUAUUGCUAAGUAGUAUUCUAUUGUAUAAAUAUAUUGCAACUUGUUUAUCCAUUGUCUGUUGGUGGACAUGUAGGCUGUGUAUUACUUUCCUUGGGCUAAUUCAAUCCAUAAUAGGUUGUUUUUAGCGUUUGGCUGU